GAUGAACGCUGGCGGCGUGCCUAAUACAUGCAAGUCGAGCGAACAGAUGAGGAGCUUGCUCCUCUGACGUUAGCGGCGGACGGGUGAGUAACACGUGGAUAACCUACCUAUAAGACUGGGAUAACUUCGGGAAACCGGGGCUGAUACCGGAUAAUAUAUUGAACCGCAUGGUUCAAUAGUGAAAGACGGUUUUGCUGUCACUUAUAGAUGGAUCCGCGCCGCAUUAGCUAGUUGGUAAGGUAACGGCUUACCAAGGCAACGAUGCGUAGCCGACCUGAGAGGGUGAUCGGCCACACUGGAACUGAGACACGGCCCAGACUCCUACGGGAGGCAGCAGUAGGGAAUCUUCCGCAAUGGGCGAAAGCCUGACGGAGCAACGCCGCGUGAGUGAUGAAGGUCUUCGGAUCGUAAAACUCUGUUAUUAGGGAAGAACAAAUGUGUAAGUAACUAUGCACGUCUUGACGGUACCUAAUCAGAAAGCCACGGCUAACUACGUG
rnacentral:rRNA from 1 species